CUGAGGAGAAGACUGAGCAGGAGAGAGCCCUUACUUUGGAAACCCCUGGUGGUCAGAUGUAAGGUCCUGUUUCCCAAUUGGUUCUUAAUCUAUCAAUACAAAUGCCAUGGGCCAAUUGCUGAGUGGAAGGAUAGGUGGGACUUCCGGAACCCCACAGGAAGCUGGGAGAGGCAGGAGAAUUUAACCAUGCUUCAGAGAGAGAAAAGCCAACCAGCCGUGUGAGGUCUGGGGCUAAGCUGCCACCAGGCUGUUCUGCAGAUUGAGGACAUUGAGCAAUUGUGUUCUAGGUCUCAUGGCCACAUGGUUAAGUGAGCAUCUUCCAAAACUUCAUCUUUCAACACAGUUCAAAGCAACAGCAAGUCUACAAUCUUCUCCUGCCCUCUGAGAUAUAUGCCUAAGGUCAAAGGAGACAACAAGAGUAGGGGUGUCCAACACCAGUUUCAGAUCAGAGCCUUGAAAAUGCACCAAAGAAUCCAUCAGAUCUGUAAGUGACCUCAUAUGUGAGUAGUCUCUAUAAAUGAAGAGGCAAUGGCAUUUCACCCAGGCUUAAGUCUACCCACCAUUGUGUGGAGCAUUGUGUGAAGAGGAAGUCCCUCCUGUGUGCCCAAAGGACAAUGUGAAGAGUCAACAAUGUGUGGACUACAGAAAAGCCUUGUCAGAAUCUCAACAAGUGCUUCAGAAUCAUGACCGUAUGUCAGAGCCAGUGCUUUGUAAGAAACAACAAAAUGAACAGGAUUUCUCCUCUAAUGAAGCUCAAAAUCGAACGGGCAAACAGAUGUUAAAUAAUUUAAAUUCAUGUGAAGCACAUUAUAUAGAAAUAUAUGAAGUACACAAUAAGAGAAAAUGAUACAAGGAUGUCCAUUUAGACUUGGAUGUGGGACAAUAAAAUGAUGUGUUGUGAAAAGUGUUAGAUGAAGUACUGAGAGAGAACAUGGCAAGGAAGAACUGAGUCUAGGGUCCCUAAGGUAGUGUGGAGCUCAAUGUAGUGAAGGAACUCAAAAGUAGAGUCAUGACCACUGAGAGGAAUACUUUAGGACACGACUUAAGAUAUUAAGGAAAAAACAUGUCUUUUCCUGUUCUAGGAAUCAGAUCUGUGUGCUUGAGUAGAGAAAUGC
rnacentral:lncRNA from 1 species